GUUUUGGUGUGAUUUUUUUCUCUUUUUGGUGUCACUGUUAAGGUAAAAAUGGCUCCUUUUGAUUAGGAAAUAAAGAGGUCCAACGUGGGAGUCCCUUGUGACUAUUUUUAUGUAAUUAUCGGUUUGUUGUAGAUAUGCUUGCUAUGGGAAUGGUGUGUUCGAAGUGGGAGGACGAACCUCUUACUGUUGGAGUCAUUAUAUCUCCAGUACCAGCAGCGUGAAUACACUUGAUACCUGGUCAUAUCAUGACUUCCCUCUUUGAGCUAUCCAGAGAAUCUCAAAGUUCUGGUUUUGCUUUUUUUUUUUUUUCUUUUUUUCUUUUUCUUUUUCCCAGGAUUUAAGCUAAAUGGACACUUAUUUGUUUUGCGGAUGUGUGGCAUUUGCUUUGCUUUGCUGUUUCUGGCAAGUGCCUGGGCAUGAGACACGACACAUCAAUGCCUGUGUUGUGUAUUCUCAUCCCUCAGCUUUUUAUUCAUGUUUUCCUUCCCAGAAGCUCAGAGAAAAAAUAAAAGCAGCUUUUAAUGGCUGGUCAGCUUUCAAUCUCGAUCUCUCCACUUUAAAAGCUUUGGGAAAAAAACAGAAUAGCUUUUAAUGAAAUAGCAGCUACUGGAACACCAGUAGCUCUCUUUCCUCCCAGAGAUGCAACAGGGAAUAUAAUUUAAUUUGAUUAAUUCAUAGCCUGUAUGUCCUCUUUCCUAUUUUUAUAUGUACAUAUUUUUCCCUUUUCUAUCCCCCUUACUUUCUUUUGGCACUUGCAUUUAUCAGCUAUUUGAGAACAAUUCCAAUGCUUUUAGCAGGAAGCGGUGAGCAGCAAGAGAACUACCAGAACAUUGGUACCUUGACUUCUGAUGUGUGAUGGAGGGAAACGUUUGGAUCUUCUCAGGAGGAUGCAAAUGAAAGCAUGAAGACUUCAGACAUCACAGAGGCUCAGAAAAAACUCAGAAAAAGACAGAGAAUGAGAGAACAGAAGAAGUUGAAGCAGCAGAAUCUUCUUCUAUGAGAUAUUCUUUUUGAAAUUUAUGCAAAGAGAAUGCAGCUUUGUAAAGGGAGCUGAGCAUAAUCCCAAACACUGAUGAGAAUGCUUGGACAAUGAAGAGGCAGCAGUUAUUGGCCAAGGUGCAGGUGUUCCAAUUCUGCGGCAGAUGAUUUUGUAUCUCCAUUUGCUCAAUUUGUUAAUGCAAAAGACCCUGACUUUCAAAAGGCAAACUACCUCGGCAUGGCUCCAGCAACGUCUUCCUUUAUAAUUCAAGAUCUGUGUGCUGAAAAAGCUUUCUUGCUCUUGAGCAAUGCCUGAAAAUAGUAGAAAGCAGAUGGUGCUUCCUCACUCUCCGUUAGAAAUGAACAGAAACAGAGGAGCAUUCUGGCUGUUUUUGGUUUUCACUUAGGCGCUGGCAUGACUGUGGAAAUCUGACUGAGCUCCUUAGUUGACUUAAUAUGGGUAAACUUGAAAUUAAGCCUUCAGACAAGCUCACUUGUAUUGCUGAGAGGGAAGACAUUAAUUAAAAGCAUCCAAGGUUUCUUUCUUUUCUGUUUUCCCAUCCAGAAAUAAUCAGAUGGUGCUGAUUUAACUGUGAGAGCAUGUAAGGGUGGAUUAAAAGAUCAGUUCAGUGAACAAGGUCUCCAUUACUUUCAGUGUGUCCUCUAGAGCUGGAUACAACACAUCUCAUGUCACAUCCUUUUCCCUCUCCAUUCACACUAUACCCUCA